rnacentral:rRNA from 1 species
AACGAACGCUAGCGGCAGGCUUAACACAUGCAAGUCGAGCGCCCCGCAAGGGGAGCGGCAGACGGGUGAGUAACGCGUGGGAAUCUACCCAUCUCUACGGAAUAACGCAUGGAAACGUGUGCUAAUACCGUAUACGUCCUUCGGGAGAAAGAUUUAUCGGAGAUGGAUGAGCCCGCGUUGGAUUAGCUAGUUGGUGGGGUAAAGGCCUACCAAGGCGACGAUCCAUAGCUGGUCUGAGCGGAUGAUCAGCCACACUGGGACUGAGACACGGCCCAGACUCCUACGGGAGGCAGCAGUGGGGAAUAUUGGACAAUGGGCGCAAGCCUGAUCCAGCCAUGCCGCGUGAGUGAUGAAGGCCCUAGGGUUGUAAAGCUCUUUCACCGGUGAAGAUAAUGACGGUAACCGGAGAAGAAGCCCCGGCUAACUUCGUGCCAGCCGCCGCGGUAAUAC